GACGAACCGAGCGAACGUUGUUCGGAAUCACUGGGCUUAAAGGGCGCGUAGGCGGGCUGUCAAGUCUGGGGUGAAAUCCCACGGCUCAACCGUGGAACUGCCUUAGAUACUGACGGCCUCGAGGGAGAUAGGGGCGAGCGGAACUGUGAGUGGAGCGGUGAAAUGCGUUGAUAUUCACAGGAACUCCGGUGGCGAAGGCGGCUCGCUGGAUCUUUUCUGACGCUGAGGCGCGAAAGCUAGGGGGAGCAAACGGG
rnacentral:rRNA from 1 species